UACGAAGGGGGCUAGCGUUGCUCGGAAUCACUGGGCGUAAAGGGUGCGUAGGCGGGUUUUUAAGUCAGGGGUGAAAUCCUGGAGCUCAACUCCAGGACUGCCUUUGAUACUGAAGAUCUUGAGUCCGGGAGAGGUGAGUGGAACUGCGAGUGUAGAGGUGAAAUUCGUAGAUAUUCGCAAGAACACCAGUGGCGAAGGCGGCUCACUGGCCCGGUACUGACGCUGAGGCACGAAAGCGUGGGGAGCAAACAGG
rnacentral:rRNA from 1 species